rnacentral:tRNA from 1 species
GAAUCGGUAACUCAGUGGAGCAGAGUGCCACGCUUCGAACGUGGAAGUCGCGGGUUCGAAUCCUGCCCGAUUCACCA